GUGCUGUAGGAAAGGAGAGAAGAUUUGCAUGCCCCUCAAUAAGGAUGUAAGGGGCCCUAGCAGCCUUGCAGCACACAAAAAACAUGGGUCAGCCCCAUAGUGUAGUAGUUAGCGUAACACUAUUAC